ACCAAACACGAUGCUCUGCAGAUCAUCAGAGAAAGUUCAGCUGUAAUUUCUCUCACUAGUAGGAAAGAACAUUUUUCGGCCAAUAUCGUCUGUCAACCUGUCUGCAUAUAAAAUAAUGUAAAAGUGUAAAUAAUCUGGCAAUUCUGGCGUUAUUAAAAAUAUUAUGUCUUUGUGGGCUUUCCUGGGAAAGUCAUGCAUCUGUAAUUUCGAAUUUUUGUUACUUGUGGAUCACGCAAGGUCUGGAAGGAGACUAGAGGACACAAUUGUAAGAAGAAGGAUUUGCCUGUAAUAGAAAGAGGAAAUUCUUCUGUAAAAUAAAUUAAUCUUAAAAAAUUUGUGAAGGUUGUCUCAGGAUUAGGUUUAAUAUUUAAAUAUCAUCAUCAAGGCCAUUUAAAGCCUUUUUGACCGUAGCUAAAUUCUGGCGGGAAAAGAUCUAGAGCUCUAUUUAUCUUUACUCAUAGUUAUUUUAUUUUGUGAACCUUUCUUGAAUUUUCUUUUCCCCUCGCGUUUCCUUGCCGAGAUGCAAAUGAGUUAAGGUGAAUGAGAGUUUUCAACUGUUGGAGUGGAAAGACAGACAGAGUAUGUUUUAAGUGUGAGCGCAUGUUGUUUGUUUCUUCUAGGUGUUAACUUAAAUGUUGGUGGCGUAUUCUUGCCACAAAGUUAUUAUCCUGCCAAUGUAAGUUUUCUGAGUCAACCUGUUAGCUUAAAUUGAACUGUGUAGUCUCACUCUGCUUUUACCUUUAAAUUUAGUAUUGCAUCAUAUUUUAAAUUCUCACCACAAGUGGACGGUGUUUUAUAAGCAUGUAAUUCAUUGCCAUCUGUUAAACAUUUUAUGUUCAACAAAAGGGUUUUUUACACAUUUCCCAGGUUGCACUCAUCUUCAAAUCUGUGCGAGAAUUCGCAAGAAUCACGCUUAGGUAAAUCUAGUCACAUUUUCUUAUAACUAAGCGUACUAGAUCAUACAAUUUUUUAACAAUUUAAAUGAAAAAAGUCACCUAUUUUUUUUUCUUUUUUCAAAAAUAUGUUUGUAUUAAUUAGAUAUAUAUGUUAUUAGGAUUUUCAAUUCAUGUUAGCUGUACUGUUGUUGGUUCGAUCGACACUAAAAUAAUGUUAUAAUGUCUCCGAGAGGCGUUUUUUUUUCAGUUAACCAUAAAAUGCUAUUUAUUACAAAGUUCAGAAACAUAAGAUCAUGUUAUUGCCAGUCUAUGAUAAGAAAUAUUUUUAUUUCUCAUCACUCUGUAAAAGUGCGUCGCUUAUUGGAUAAAAAAUUAAUAAUACUUGAAUGAAAUCUUGUUCAUUAAAUAAAAUUCUGAAAACUUAUAAUAUACCGAUUGCGCCAUUUCUGACUCUUCUUAUAUUAUCGUUCACUUCUUACAUUAUCAUCUUUAUUCAAAAUAAGAAAGAAUUUCGAUAAUGAACUAUUGUAGUAAGCUACAGACUAAAAUUUCAUAUUUAUAUUUUCGUAACAUAUUUCAGUUAGACAGUAGCAUCAUUUUCUAGUGUUUUUAUUUAUAUUAUUUCAUAUUCAAAAAUGAAAGAAGAAACGAAAGUCGAUGCUGAAAUUCAUAAGUUUUAAAGUUUUUGUAAAGAUUUAGUUAUUGAGGUUUGAAAAAAUACGUAGAUAUUAUUUUCAAUUAAGCAGAAAGGAAAAAUAUUUCUUUUCUGCUUAAUUGAAUUAUUCAAAAUUAUUUAAUCUCUAAAAUUUAAUGCAUGAAAUUUGAGAUUUUAACUGUUUUACAUAUUUUGUAUUUCAAAAUUUAUAAAAAAUAUUACAGUUUAAAAUUUUUAAUGUUUCGAGACAUCAGAUUAUAAUCUAAAGCUUUCAGGUCAGAUGUUAUUUUAUUUUGUUCUAUAAAAAUAAAAUAAAUUAAUUUUUCUUAACGUCAUUAUGUUUUACUACAACUAUUUUAUUGGCAUUUUAAUCUUGUGUUUUGUAAAUCUGAUCUAUUCCCGAAAUUUUUGAAAUAUUUGCUUCGUAAAUCUGUUCUGUUCUGUAAAUCAUUGUAUAUAUGCUAUUAAACACGUUUUAAAUCAUUAAGCUUUUAUUCUUUCAAAUCAAAAGCCUUUUUAUUGAACAUUCCAUUUCAUUUUUUUAUAUUGUAACAAGGAAGUAAUAACUCUGGUAAUGAAAAUCUGGAGUCUAAACAUUAACAUUUCAUGCACUUUUUAUAAUAAAUAAUAUUUGUUAAAUAUAUAACAAAACAUUAUCAAAAGCUAAGAGCAGGAAUUAAAAAAUGCCGCACUCUUGUUCAAUUUAAUCAUU
rnacentral:lncRNA from 1 species